AAUUAAUCUUAGUAGAGUUAGAAGAGGGGUCUUACAUGAGGGUAAGGGCCUGCUUUGGUUAAGCCAAGAAUGACUUGCCUAUAGCUUGCAAGAUCUUCAGAGAUCAUUAUUGUCUGAAGAGGUGAUGACUACAUCUUUGGGUUUUCUAUAGGGCAGUCAUCCCCUUGGCUUAUGCUGAGAGGCUCUUAUCCUUCAUGCCAGCCUCUGAAAAUCUUCUGUCAAUUUUCUAAUUUUCAAUUACUAUAAAGGUUUAUACUGCUGAAGUCUUCGUUACAGGCCAGGUAGACAUUGUAGUAUAUAAAUCACAAGGUUUUUUCAGGACUUCGUGUGAUCAGCUGGAAGGGAGGUAAAUCAACUUCGCCCAGUGCAGGUAGAAUAUAAUGAUGCAUUUCGCACAUGUUAAAAUUGAUAUCAUUACACCGUAUAUAAAUACCAAUUAGUAGACCAGGUGUACAUAUUUAUUAUUAAAACAUAGUCAAUUAUCCUAUUUAAAAAUUUUAUCUUAAAUUUUAAAUACGAUAGUUAAAAAAUCCGUACAUUAUCUAUUCUACUCAUUCUCUAAAUUUUAUAUCUAUGAAUAAUAUUUUUUAAAAUUUAGAAAAUAAAUUUUAUUCCCUAAACACUAUAGAGGAGUAAGAAAAAAUAAAAAAGAUAAUAUAUAUAGUGCGGUGAAAAAUAAAUAUCUAAAUUUAAUAAAAUAUAUUUUUUUAUUCUAAAUUAUACGUUUUAUAUAAGAAAGCUGGUGUGAUUAUAUAUAUAUAUAUAUAUAUAUAUAUAGUGUUGUGGUAAAUGAUAGGAUGUUUUUCUCAAAUAAUUAGGGUUUAAAAUCCAUUUAGUCAAUACAUGUGAUGUUUAAAUAAUUAGUGGAGUAAAAUAUAAAAGAUAAUAUCCUUCAGUUCAAAUAGUUUAGUAUCAUAGGUUCUAUGAUAAAAUAUAAGUAAGUAAAUCUUAAAGACAUUUUGCCAUGGCAAAAUAAUUUUUAAUUUACAUAAGAAGGUCAUGCACUCAACAAAUUAUUUUACAUAGUUGAAAAUUGACUCUAAAACUUAUUAAAUCAACUAUUCAUGUAUGCACUAACUGUCUAACUCGUGGGUGCGUGUUUGAAUAACUAGUGAGGUUGGGAUGCCGCGUCAAAAGCUACCUCGCUUACUGCAUAGGGAGAAUGUGAAAUUGGCCAGUCGAUCCCAUAAUUAAUCGAGUUAUAAGAUUUAGAUAUUUGAUAUAAAAAAAAAUCUAUAUGCACCACUAACAUUACUAUGGAUGAUAAUCCAUAUACAUCUGUUAUUUUUUAAGAUUUAAAAUUAAAAAUAAGAUUAUAUAGAUAGACGUGCGAAGCUGCGAGGAAAAAACAUGUCAUCUAUUUUAACCUAAUGUAUAAUAUUUUUAAAAAUUGGGGGCCAUUGUUAACAAAUUAAAGGUUAAGUGGACAAAUGGAAAGAUUGUCCAGAGGAUCUGCUGCUCUCGCGUUGGUCCCUUUUUAUCCAGGUCUUUCUAACAGCGACGAAACCCUAAUCAUGGCGAAUCUGGGUGGGGUCAGGUCGUCUUCUCCUUCUCCUCGCAACUAUUCUUUUAAUAUCUCCAUGUUACGUGAUGGCUAGCUUCGGUGUCCUCCUUCCUCGACGCAUACAAGAAAGUAAGCCUGACGCUUCGGUGUCCUCCUUCCGGCGCUGAGCAGGUCUCCAUUGCGAUCGAUCUCGUUCGUAUCGUUGCAUGUGUCUAUUGCUUCUUACUUAAAUGUUUUCCUUAUUAGUCCACUAAUUUUCAACUAUCUCGAUGCUUCAAGUAAGUUUCUCGUUCAGUUAUGAUUUAUGAAUACGCGAUCCCAUUUCUAUUGAUCCUAUUUCUUUGGAAUGAUAUAUUUUUGUGAAUCGGAUUGAAGCCGUGUGCUUAGGAUUGAGAAAAUUGGGGAGUAACAUGAUCUACUUGAAGAUCUUGACCAUGUGAAUUUUUUUUCCCAUUGGACAGGCUCUCAUUUGACCUUUUCCUGCAUUUUCAAAAUCUAUUCCUUGUUUGGUUUCUUAUAAACCUUUGGAUAGAACUUAUGCUAUGUGGAUUGCAUUAUGCUAUGCUUGAAUUGCUUUUACUACUUGUUUCUGUUUCAGUUACUGAAGCUAGUUUGAAGAUUCUAUAUUUUUUUAUUGAAAAUUUUUAUUUUGUCUUUAGAUCCAUUCAUUCCUCUUCAAGCAACUCUCAUAAAUGAUUUUGUCCUAUGAUAAUUGUGCAUAUCAUAUAUUCAAUGUGCUGUGGAAAUCUAUUAUUUCCAUUAGUUUGUUAAAUUAACUACACAUUCCAGAUCUAGGAGCUGCAGCUCUUAGGAAGGAAUUACUUUCAAGAACUCUGAGAGUAGUAACAUUCAUGGACUAUAGGCUGGUUAUGAAACAAGUUGCUAUAGUGUGUAUUAACCUGAUUCAAGAAAAGAAGAUGAAAUGCCUAAACAAGAUUAUGCACUACGGUUUGGCACAUAGUUAGGGAAUUAAGGAUGAGGAGAUGGAGACAAGUAUCUUAUUUGGAUCAGAGGGACUCAAUUCAAGCAUUUAAAGAGACACUUUAAGUUGCAUCUGUCCUUUAUUACUAAACAUUUGAUUAAAUUUGGAGCAAUGCCCUUCUCAAUUUAUGAUAUGACAAUCUGUUUAAGUAGGGGAGAAUUUUUUUAUGCCUCUACUGUCUACCACAUACAAACCGAAACUUUUCUUCAACAGUUUGGUUGUUGUUUUCCUCCUAUUCUUAUCUCUCUCCCUCUAUGACAUGCAUUCACGUAAACAUCCGUAUGCCCUCUACUGAUUCUCAACCACUUCUAUGUGAAUUUUUUAUGGAGUCAAUGUCAUAGCAAACUUCCUUUUUCUUGAGUUGUCAAAGACUUUAUGAGUUUAGCUUGGAGUUCUUUAAACCUUUGAGCUACAAGGUUUUCCAGCACCUCAGAUUUUAGAAGACUAUGAUUUUUUUUAUCACUAGGCCCUAGUCACUUAUCGCCAACUUUUACAUUGUCAAAUAAGAAUGAACUAUUCGACUUCUUGCAUUUGCUUGUGUUCUCUUAGAAUUGACAUACUUUUUUAUCCCAUGAUCAUGCUCUCUAGUCUAUCUUAAUCGAUACUUUUAAGAAAAAAGGAAAGGUAAACCAGUUAGCCUCAUUGACUAGUCUUGUAAAUCGGGAGCCCAACAUCCUUUGGUUGCGCGCCCCAUUUGAAAGGAAAAAAUUCUAUAAAUUCGCCAUAGCUGGAGAUCGAGCUAUGGAUGCCUAGGUGACAACCUGGAUGUCCUAUUGCACCAUAGCCCCUGGGGCUUAAUCGAGACUUUUAAGAUGGCAUAUGAUGUGAGCCUUAAUGAUGAUAGUUUGCCCCAAGAUAGUUUUGCACUUGUCUCUGGAAAGCACAUCAAAUACUUGGGAAUGACUAAUACAGCCACUAGUCUUUAUAAUGAGAAUCAUUACUAUUCGUUUAAUGUUAGUGGUGUCUUGUCUCUUUUACCUUUGAGUCUAACUUGAAGGGUGUCUUCCAUGGUUCUGCUGUUGUCAAAUUCUGUAUUCCCACUAAGGCUGCACUACAGGUUUAUCCUGUUUCAAAAUGCAUGUUUUAAAGUGGCAAUAGGUUUGAAGUCAUUGUUUUAUGUUAUGGGAACAAAAAAGUUUGGUGUUUGCCUCUUGUGUGUUUUUCUGCUGUGAAAACGUGGAAAUACUGAAUUCAUUCUAGGGUUUCCUACAUGCGUAGUGAAGUUAUCUUAGUUAGCUAUAAAAGUGCUUCUAAUAGUUUGCUUUUAUGACUUAUAACUAUACAUAGUUUUUAAUUUUUAUUACGCAUAUUGUUUUGUUUAGCCUCUUGCAAUACAAAGUAAGGUUGUGUACGAUAGACCUAAUGUGAUAUGACCAUCGGGCCCCACAUUGGCGGGAGCUUCGUGCACUUUCCUUUUUUAUAUUGUUUUGUUCCUUAUUAAUUUGGUGGCUGUAUACUGUAGUUUGAACGUUAAAUUACACUGGUGUAGGAAGCUUAUUCUACUUCUGUUCUACCAUUUGAUGUUCUUGUUAACAAGCCUUCUGAGAAGAAGUUUGCAUUCGUGAGGUAUCCAUAAUCCAUCCACUGACCAUCUGUUACUAUCUGUUUUUUUUUUAAUUUCCCACUAAUAUUCAAUUUUAAUUUUAAUGGGCUAGCAUCCAUUGCAAACAUGGCCUGCGUUGACAUGUUUUUGGCAAAAGUAACAUUUUUUUUUUCAAUAAUAUUUCUGAAAAGCUUCUGAUUCUUGUGUUCAUCAAAUAAUUAGUUUGCCAUUAUGCACAAACUGCCAACUAAAUAUGGACCAUUGGUGUCUGUUCUGACAUUGGUGGUGCUAGUUCAUCUACCUAGUUGCUGCUCCAUCAAAUGCUGAAAAGAAUCAAGCAAGAAAAGGUGGUGAAUUGAGUUUGGAGCAAAUUUACCUUCUUUUUGGUUGAAAUGCUGCCUGCAGUGCUGUGAGCUGAGUUUUCGUUGUCAUACUCAAAAUGUCGUCCUGUGACACCUGUCUAUUUGCUUGGACUUUUGGGGAACUUCAAAUGCUAAUUCAAGUUCUUGAGUUCUUACCUUUAGCCUUACUAAGAUGACUAGGUUCUUAAUUUGAUGAAUUUCAAAUUUUGCCAAAAUUUUGUUGCUAAUUUUCUCGGGAAGUGUUCAAAAUAAUUAGAUCUAAAAGUGUGGCUCUGCAAGGUGGACAAUGCAUGUAUAAGGGAGCAGUAAGCCAGACUGCUAGCUGAGGUUUAAGGGACCAUGCUGUCCAGCCUGUGUAAUGCACCUCGCCACGUCAGCUCGGUUGGCUCCUGUCUGUGGUUAACAGUUUAAGCUUGAACUCAUCCCGGGUGUAUAAAUGACCAGCUGUCUGGAAAUGGACUUAUUAAGACAUACCUGGUGGAUGUAUUUAAAGUAGUUCCAAAUAAUUCAGGGCCUGCCAUCUGAUACCUUGAUUUUGGUGAUUUAUCUUCGAAACUAGGACUCCUCAUGAGGUGCUUACUAUUCACAUAAAUAUAUAGGUAGAAUCCAAAAUAUUACUGCUUUUGAUGUGUUGCUUCUGGCUUCUGCCUUUUCCUUGUUUUGAAAUCAAGCAUAUUUUUCUUUUCCAAGUGGAUUUAAGACUUUUGGUGAUUCAAGCAGGUCCUCAGUUGGAUCUUCAGUGAUGUGACCAAAUGUGGGAGAAUACUCUAAAUGGUCCUGGGUUUGUUCUUUUGUUUUGUUUUGCUUUUAUUAGAAAAAAGAAGUAUAUCCAAGGAUUGAACCAUUAUUCCGAGGACAGGUGAGUUUCUGAUGAUAUUGCCGUUUUACUUGUAGAAAAAAUUCAGAUUUUGCACCCUUUUCUAAUCUUAUUUAUUAAGGUAUAUGUCUAAGCUCUAUCAUUGUUUCUUUGGUUGAAAUUGCGUUUACAUGUUUAAAUUAUAGAAAAAAUGGUGCUGUUCUUCAAAUUGUGAUACAGUUGCACGAGGAAGAUAAAGACGUGGAGAUGUGCAAAUAGGAUGUGGUGGCAAAAUAAUAUUGGUGAUGCUUGUUGCUGCUUUGAAGUUCAUGUAUGCACUGCACGAAGGCCUUUUCCUAUGGAGCAACGCCUCCAAAUGGACGCGGUAUGGGCGAUUCAACGGGGUUUAGGUGUGUCAACAUCCCACACAAGUUUGAUCUUGCAACUUGCAAAGAACUCACAAGAUGAUACUCCAUGAUAGCUUUUUGUUCUCCUCGUGUUUGGUGUUUAUGACGUACAUUUUGUGUGCGCUUUUUAUCCGUGUAGAAGAGAGAUGGACUUUAUAAACAGCUUACUUUUUAUUUGAUUCUCCUGGACCAUCCAAAAUUUCAUACCAGGGAUAAUAU